ensembl:lncRNA
CACAGCCGCUGGGCAUCGCUACCUGCCAUCUGAAGGACACGGGGAACUGCUGAUCUCAGGCGAUUAGCAUAACAAUCCCCGAUCCCACGUCCUCGGGGCCCAAAGCUGGCCUCCUGGCACUGGAAGGCAGAGAGAGACUUUGGGUGAGAAUGGGCGGAGCACAGGGAUAGAGCAGGGUUCCAGUCCUAACUCUGCUGCUUAUCACCUGUGUGAUCUCGGGGGUGACUGGUACAGUCCCUGACCUUGGAAUAUCCCACAUGCCGUGGAGUAACUAAGCCCAAGCCCAUGAGCCACAACUGCUGAGCCCACCUGCUGCAACUACAGAAGCCCACGAGCCCUAGAGCCUAUGCUUCGCAACAAGGGAAGCCACCACAAUGAGAAGUCCAUGCACCUCAACUAGAGAGUAGCCCCCGCUCUCUGCAACUGGAGAAAAGCCCAUACAUGGCAAAGAGGACCCAGCACAGCUACAGAUAAAUAC